GCUUAUUGAAUAAUUUCGGGUGGUGGCCCGUGAGUUACAUAAUAGACAGGUCGUUCGUUUACAAAAUAAUUAUUUAUAUAUUAUAAUGAUAAAAUCUAGAAAAUACAAUUUUUUUCAGAUAAAUAUUUUUAUUUUUUAUUCAAUAGAAUUAUAGACAAAGUGCGAUACUGUUACAAUUGCUUGUUCUAAAUUUUUAGCAGGUUUAAAAUCAAAUUGUGUUUUUGUUAAUAAAUUGUUUUAUUCAAGAUACGUUACUUAGUCAUAUUUUAUAUAUUUCUCAAUAUUAGCAAG